rnacentral:rRNA from 1 species
GACUCGUCACACUAUCAUUAACUGAAUCCAUAGGUUAAUGAGGCGAACCGGGGGAACUGAAACAUCUAAGUACCCCGAGGAAAAGAAAUCAACCGAGAUUCCCCCAGUAGCGGCGAGCGAACGGGGAGGAGCCCAGAGCCUGAAUCAGCAUGUGUGUUAGUGGAAGCGUCUGGAAAGGCGCGCGAUACAGGGUGACAGCCCCGUACACAAAAGCGCAUGUGCUGUGAGCUCGAUGAGUAGGGCGGGACACGUGGUAUCCUGUCUGAAUAUGGGGGGACCAUCCUCCAAGGCUAAAUACUCCUGACUGACCGAUAGUGAACCAGUACCGUGAGGGAAAGGCGAAAAGAACCCCGGCGAGGGGAGUGAAAAAGAACCUGAAACCGUGUACGUACAAGCAGUGGGAGCCCCACCACUAAGCCAGUGGUGAACUCCACAUACGCAUCCUUUGCUGAGGAUACGGUUAACGGAGCGAAAGCGACGUUCAACCGCAAAAGAAGCAGAGGGGGCUUAGUGGUGGGGUGACUGCGUACCUUUUGUAUAAUGGGUCAGCGACUUAUAUUCUGUAGCAAGGUUAACCGAAUAGGGGAGCCGGAGGGAAACCGAGUCUUAAUUGGGCGUUAAGUUGCAGGGUAUAGACCCGAAACCCGGUGAUCUAGCCAUGGGCAGGUUGAAGGUUGGGUAACACUAACUGGAGGACCGAACCGACUAAUGUUGAAAAAUUAGCGGAUGACCUGUGGCUGGGGGUGAAAGGCCAAUCAAACCGGGAGAUAGCUGGUUCUCCCCGAAAGCUAUUUAGGUAGCGCCUCGUGAAUUCAUCUCCGGGGGUAGAGCACUGUUUCGGCUAGGGGGCCAUCCCGGCUUACCAACCCGAUGCAAACUGCGAAUACCGGAGAAUGUUAUCACGGGAGACACACGGCGGGUGCUAACGUCCGUCGUGAAGAGGGAAACAACCCAGACCGCCAGCUAAGGUCCCAAAGUCAUGGUUAAGUGGGAAACGAUGUGGGAAGGCCCAGACAGCCAGGAUGUUGGCUUAGAAGCAGCCAUCAUUUAAAGAAAGCGUAAUAGCUCACUGGUCGAGUCGGCCUGCGCGGAAGAUGUAACGGGGCUAAACCAUGCACCGAAGCUGCGGCAGCGACGCUGAUGCGUUGUUGGGUAGGGGAGCGUUCUGUAAGCCUGCGAAGGUGGCCUGUGAGGGUUGCUGGAGGUAUCAGAAGUGCGAAUGCUGACAUAAGUAACGAUAAAGCGGGUGAAAAGCCCGCUCGCCGGAAGACCAAGGGUUCCUGUCCAACGUUAAUCGGGGCAGGGUGAGUCGACCCCUAAGGCGAGGCCGAAAGGCGUAGUCGAUGGGAAACGGGUUAAUAUUCCCGUACUUGGUGUUACUGCGAAGGGGGGACGGAGAAGGCUAUGUUGGCCGGGCGACGGUUGUCCCGGUUUAAGCGUGUAGGUGUGUGUUCCAGGUAAAUCCGGUUCACUUUAACACUGAGGCGUGAUGACGAGGCACUACGGUGCUGAAGCAACAAAUGCCCUGCUUCCAGGAAAAGCCUCUAAGCAUCAGGUAACAUCAAAUCGUACCCCAAACCGACACAGGUGGUCAGGUAGAGAAUACCAAGGCGCUUGAGAGAACUCGGGUGAAGGAACUAGGCAAAAUGGUGCCGUAACUUCGGGAGAAGGCACGCUGACACGUAGGUGAAGUGAUUUACUCAUGGAGCUGAAGUCAGUCGAAGAUACCAGCUGGCUGCAACUGUUUAUUAAAAACACAGCACUGUGCAAACACGAAAGUGGACGUAUACGGUGUGACGCCUGCCCGGUGCCGGAAGGUUAAUUGAUGGGGUCAGCGCAAGCGAAGCUCCUGAUCGAAGCCCCGGUAAACGGCGGCCGUAACUAUAACGGUCCUAAGGUAGCGAAAUUCCUUGUCGGGUAAGUUCCGACCUGCACGAAUGGCGUAAUGAUGGCCAGGCUGUCUCCACCCGAGACUCAGUGAAAUUGAACUCGCUGUGAAGAUGCAGUGUACCCGCGGCAAGACGGAAAGACCCCGUGAACCUUUACUAUAGCUUGACACUGAACAUUGAGCCUUGAUGUGUAGGAUAGGUGGGAGGCUUUGAAGUGUGGACGCCAGUCUGCAUGGAGCCGACCUUGAAAUACCACCCUUUAAUGUUUGAUGUUCUAACGUGGACCCGUGAUCCGGGUUGCGGACAGUGUCUGGUGGGUAGUUUGACUGGGGCGGUCUCCUCCUAAAGAGUAACGGAGGAGCACGAAGGUUGGCUAAUCCUGGUCGGACAUCAGGAGGUUAGUGCAAUGGCAUAAGCCAGCUUGACUGCGAGCGUGACGGCGCGAGCAGGUGCGAAAGCAGGUCAUAGUGAUCCGGUGGUUCUGAAUGGAAGGGCCAUCGCUCAACGGAUAAAAGGUACUCCGGGGAUAACAGGCUGAUACCGCCCAAGAGUUCAUAUCGACGGCGGUGUUUGGCACCUCGAUGUCGGCUCAUCACAUCCUGGGGCUGAAGUAGGUCCCAAGGGUAUGGCUGUUCGCCAUUUAAAGUGGUACGCGAGCUGGGUUUAGAACGUCGUGAGACAGUUCGGUCCCUAUCUGCCGUGGGCGCUGGAGAACUGAGGGGGGCUGCUCCUAGUACGAGAGGACCGGAGUGGACGCAUCACUGGUGUUCGGGUUGUCAUGCCAAUGGCACUGCCCGGUAGCUAAAUGCGGAAGAGAUAAGUGCUGAAAGCAUCUAAGCACGAAACUUGCCCCGA